rnacentral:lncRNA from 1 species
GCCCAGCCACCGCCUGCCAGCCCCGGCCCGCGACCGCGGAGGGGCCAAGGACCUGCCUGUGCUGGCCGUGGGGCUGGGUGAAGAGCAGGCGAGGGGCUCGGCCCCGGUGGCCGGCCCCAAGCUGUACCCCAAGCUGUACACAGAUGUGCACACACACUCGCACACGCACUCCCACUCCCACAUGGAGGGCAAGGUGCACCAGCACCAGCACAUCCACUACCAGUGCUAGACAGCGUGGGUGCAGGGACAGGCCAGCGGGCGGACGGGGGAGCAGCAGCCAGCACCCUGUGCGAGACACACACGGAUCAGGCCAGGUACACAGACACUGCCAGAUGGACACACAGAACACCAGACACGGACUCAACACACACCACACAGACAUGUUGCACACGCACGUGGACCGAGAUGCCCUUGGAAAGGCUUGGGCUGUUCAGCUUUGCAGCGACAUAGUCAUAAGCCCCAGCUUCCACCUGCAGCACCUGAGGGCUCCCGUUGGCCCUGUGCGACUGCCGAGCCUGGACAGACGACUUGGGCUGCUCCCCUCUUCUCCCCCGGUCACCUGGACUCUCGUAGUGACCCAGCCCCUCCAUGAGCUGAGCUGACUCACUGCCUGCCCAACCCAGUGUCUGCAGCUGCACACUUCCGGUCCCUCGAGGAGAGUGUGCCUCUGGCUGGAGAUGCAACAGCCCCAAGGGUCCCAAGAGCCAGGCCUCACCAGCGGGGCAGGGACGCCGCAGCCCAGCCUGGCACCGUACCGCUGAGUGGGGCCGGGCCUCUGUGAUCAGCUGGAUGCCCUGAGUGUGCUCAAGUCUGCGGAGAGACCCAGGGCCCACAGUGCUUCCAAGGCUGUUUUCCUAAGAAUGGUGAUGGUGACUGGAGCACACUGUGCUUGGGAAAAGGAGGAACUGUGGCCAGCCCUGUCUCGCGCCCAGGUUCUCAGGGUGUCUGCAGCUGACCCUGGACUCACUGGGGCUCUCUGGGGUUUGCCCGCAUCAUGCCCCCCUGAGCAUGCUGGACCUGCUGCCCCAUCCCAGGCUCGGUGCCGCACCCAGGACGCAGAACUCAGCCACGGCCUCCAGUCCCCAUGAGCCUGUGGCUGGAGCAGUGGCUGCAUUGCAUGAACCUGAUCCCUCCCCAGGUGCUGAGCAGGCUCUGGGCUCCACCUGUGUUCAGGGGGCCUGGUCCUCCUCGAAGCCAUGCCUGUGGGGCCCCCAACAAUCCUGGCCUUGGGGUCACAUGGGCUCUGUUCACCUCCUGGGUGGACACUGUGGGGCAGGGCCCAGCAUCAAGCCCAGGACCCAGAGCGCACCCUCUGCAGCAGCCGUGGGCUGCCUCUUGAUGGCACCGGGGAGCAGAGCAGACCAUGAGAACCCCAUCCCUUCCACCUCCCCAAGUUGCUGCUUCCAGUGAAAUACAUUAGGUAAUAAAUAAGGUUUUUUGCUUUUUUUUUUGGUACUGGGGAUUGAACUCAGGUCCUACUUGCGCAGGGUCCUCCUCGAAGCCAUGCCUGUGGGGCCCCCAACAAUCCUGGCCUUGGGGUCACAUGGGCUCUGUUCACCUCCUGGGUGGACACUGUGGGGCAGGGCCCAGCAUCAAGCCCAGGACCCAGAGCGCACCCUCUGCAGCAGCCGUGGGCUGCCUCUUGAUGGCACCGGGGAGCAGAGCAGACCAUGAGAACCCCAUCCCUUCCACCUCCCCAAGUUGCUGCUUCCAGUGAAAUACAUUAGGUAAUAAAUAAGGUUUUUUGCUUUUUUUUUUGGUACUGGGGAUUGAACUCAGGUCCUUGCACUUGCGCAGCAGGCGGAGAAACCACUGAGCUAAAUCCCCGGCCCUAAAUAAGG